rnacentral:rRNA from 1 species
AACGAACGCUGGCGGCAUGCCUAACACAUGCCAGUCGAACGAGACCUUCGGGUCUAGUGGCGCACGGGUGCGUAACGCGUGGGAACCUGCCCUUAGGUUCGGAAUAACUCCCCGAAAGGGGUGCUAAUACCGGAUAAUGUCUUCGGACCAAAGAUUUAUCGCCUUUGGAUGGGCCCGCGUUGGAUUAGCUAGUUGGUAGGGUAAAAGCCUACUAAGGCGACGAUCCAUAGCUGGUCUGAGAGGAUGAUCAGCCACACUGGGACUGAGACACGGCCCAGACUCCUACGGGAGGCAGCAGUGGGGAAUAUUGGACAAUGGGCGAAAGCCUGAUCCAGCAAUGCCGCGUGAGUGAUGAAGGCCUUAGGGUUGUAAAGCUCUUUUACCCGGGAUGAUAAUGACAGUACCGGGAGAAUAAGCGCCGGCUAACUCCGUG